AUAUAUAUAUCAACCUUCUCUUUUUAUGAGUGGGCUUGGAUGUGGGGGUUUGUUGGCCUUGUAAAGGGUUCAGCUCCCCUGAAAUGCAUUAGCAGAACAACCCUGUUCAUUGGUGUGAUAAACUAUCUACGCUAUUGAAUGUAAGGGGGGCAGUUCAGCUUUCUAAUAGUCCUUGGACAAACUUAUCAUUUAA
rnacentral:misc_RNA from 1 species